rnacentral:rRNA from 1 species
GUGGGGAAUAUUGGACAAUGGGCGCAAGCCUGAUCCAGCCAUACCGCGUGGGUGAAGAAGGCUUUCGGGUUGUAAAGCCCUUUUGUUGGGAAAGAAAUCCUGUCGGUUAAUACCUGGCGGGGAUGACGGUACCCAAAGAAUAAGCACCGGCUAACUUCGUGCCAGCAGCCGCGGUAAUACGAAGGGUGCAAGCGUUACUCGGAAUUACUGGGCGUAAAGCGUGCGUAGGUGGUGGUUUAAGUCCGUUGUGAAAGCCCUGGGCUCAACCUGGGAAUUGCAGUGGAUACUGGAUCACUAGAGUGUGGUAGAGGGAUGCGGAAUUUCUGGUGUAGCAGUGAAAUGCGUAGAGAUCAGAAGGAACAUCCGUGGCGAAGGCGGCAUCCUGGGCCAACACUGACACUGAGGCACGAAAGCGUGGGGAGCAAACAGGAUUAGAUACCCCGGUAGUCC